GCUUCCGCUAUGAUGAGCAAGGUCGAUAGCUAGUGUGAGUAUGCUCACAGCAGCGAUCCGUAGUUGUCUGAGAGAUGAUCAGCACAUCGGACUGAGACACGCCCGACUCUACGGAGCAGCAGUGGGAUAUUGACAAUGGGGCAACCCUGAUCCAGCCAUGCCGCGUGUGUGAGAAGGCCCUCGGGUUGUAAAGCACUUUCAGCGAGGAAGAACGCCUAGUGGUUAAUACCCAUUAGGAAAGACAUCACUCGCAGAAGAAGCACCGGCUAACUCCGUGCCAGCAGCCGCGGUAAUACGGAGGGUGCAAGCGUUAAUCGGAAUUACUGGGCGUAAAGCGCGCGUAGGCGGCUUGAUAAGCCGGUUGUGAAAGCCCCGGGCUCAACCUGGGAACGGCAUCCGGAACUGUCAGGCUAGAGUGCAGGAGAGGAAGGUAGAAUUCCCGGUGUAGCGGUGAAAUGCGUAGAGAUCGGGAGGAAUACCAGUGGCGAAGGCGGCCUUCUGGACUGACACUGACACUGAGGUGCGAAAGCGUGGGUAGCAAACAGGAUUAGAUACCCUGGUAGUCCACGCCGUAAACGAUGUCGACCAGCCGUUGGGUGCCUAGCGCACUUUGUGGCGAAGUUAACGCGAUAAGUCGACCGCCUGGGGAGUACGGCCGCAAGGUUAAAACUCAAAUGAAUUGACGGGGGCCCGCACAAGCGGUGGAGCAUGUGGUUUAAUUCGAUGCAACGCGAAGAACCUUACCUACCCUUGACAUCGACAGAAGCCGAGAGAGAUCUUGGUGUGCCUUCGGGAACUGUCAGACAGGUGCUGCAUGGCUGUCGUCAGCUCGUGUUGUGAAAUGUUGGGUUAAGUCCCGUAACGAGCGCAACCCUUGUCCUUAUUUGCCAGCGCGUAAUGGCGGGAACUCUAAGGAGACUGCCGGUGACAAACCGGAGGAAGGUGGGGACGACGUCAAGUCAUCAUGGCCCUUACGGGUAGGGCUACACACGUGCUACAAUGGCCGGUACAAAGGGCAGCGAGCUCGCGAGAGUCAGCGAAUCCCUUAAAGCCGGUCUCAGUCCGGAUCGGAGUCUGCAACUCGACUCCGUGAAGUCGGAAUCGCUAGUAAUCGGAAUCAGAA
rnacentral:rRNA from 1 species